CCGUGCUAGGUGGGGAGGUAGCGGUGCCCUGUUACCCACAAUCCGCUAUAGUGGGGCUGAAUUCCCGUCUGAGGUAAAGUAAUCUUAAGGUCUGACGUAAGUGAAUAGUGUUGACGUUUGGGUCCUGUGCAACGAGAACCCGUGAACCCUGUCAGGUCCGGAAGGAAGCAGCAGUAAGCGGUCUCUCUCGUGUGUCGCAGGGUUACCUGAACCGAGCUAGGAUCUUGCGUAACGCUUAUGGGUUACUUUAUCGAAGAUGGGUGCACGG
rnacentral:SRP_RNA from 1 species